rnacentral:rRNA from 1 species
GAUGAACGCUGGCGGCAUGCCUAAUACAUGCAAGUCGAACGAGAGGAAAAGAAGCUUGCUUCUUUGAAUCUAGUGGCGAACGGGUGAGUAACACGUAGGUAACCUGCCCAGUGCCCGGGAUAACUUCUGGAAACGGAUGCUAAAACCGGAUAGGUAGCAGACAAGCAUUUGACUGCUAUUAAAGUGGCCUUGGCCAUGAACAUGGAUGGACCUGCGGUGCAUUAGCUAGCUGGUGAGGUAACGGCCCACCAAGGCGACGAUGCAUAGCCGGCCUGAGAGGGCGGACGGCCACAUUGGGACGGAGACACGGCCCAAACUCCUACGGGAGGCAGCAGUAGGGAAUUUUCGUCAAUGGGGGGAACCCUGAACGAGCAAUGCCGCGUGAGUGAGGAAGGUCUUCGGAUCGUAAAGCUCUGUUGUAAGAGAAAAACGACAUUCAUAGGGAAUGAUGAGUGAGUGAUGGUAUCUUACCAGAAAGUCACGGCUAACUACGUGCCAGCAGCCGCCGUAA